rfam:Heterocephalus glaber contig217673, whole genome shotgun sequence.
GUGGGUGUGGCUCAGUGGUAGAACAUGUGCCCAGAAUGCGUGAGGCCCUGGGUUCAAUCCCCAGCACUACCA